UCUGUGAUGGCCGAGUGGUUAAGGCAUUUGACUCGAAGUCAAAUGGGCUUUGCCCGCGCAGGUCCGAAACUUGCUCGCAGCG